UAGGGAAUCUUCGGCAAUGGACGAAAGUCUGACCGAGCAACGCCGCGUGAGUGAAGAAGGUUUUCGGAUCGUAAAACUCUGUUGUUAGAGAAGAACAAGGACGUUAGUAACUGAACGUCCCCUGACGGUAUCUAACCAGAAAGCCACGGCUAACUACGUGCCAGCAGCCGCGGUAAUACGUAGGUGGCAAGCGUUGUCCGGAUUUAUUGGGCGUAAAGCGAGCGCAGGCGGUUUCUUAAGUCUGAUGUGAAAGCCCCCGGCUCAACCGGGGAGGGUCAUUGGAAACUGGGAGACUUGAGUGCAGAAGAGGGGAGUGGAAUUCCAUGUGUAGCGAUGAAAUGCGUAGAUAUAUGGAGGAACACGAGUGGCGAAGGCGGCUCGCUGGUCUGUAACUGACGCUGAGGCUCGAAAGCGUGGGGAGCAAACAGG
rnacentral:rRNA from 1 species